AUUGAACGCUGGCGGCAGGCCUAACACAUGCAAGCCGAGCGGAUGAGUGGAGCUUGCUCCAUGAUUCAGCGGCGGACGGGUGAGUAAUGCCUAGGAACCUGCCUGGUAGUGGGGGACAACGUUUCGAAAGGAACGCUAAUACCGCAUACGUCCUACGGGAGAAAGUGGGGGAUCUUCGGACCUCACGCUAUCAGAUGAGCCUAGGUCGGAUUAGCUAGUUGGUGAGGUAAAGGCUCACCAAGGCGACGAUCCGUAACUGGUCUGAGAGGAUGAUCAGUCACACUGGAACUGAGACAAGGUCCAGACUCCUACGGGAGGCAGCAGUGGGGAAUAUUGGACAAUGGGCGAAAGCCUGAUCCAGCCAUGCCGCGUGUGUGAAGAAGGUCUUCGGAUUGUAAAGCACUUUAAGUUGGGAGGAAGGGCAGUAAGUUAAUACCUUGCUGUUUUGACGUUACCAAAAGAAUAAGCACCGGCUAACUUCGUGCCAGCCGCCGCAGUAAGAC
rnacentral:rRNA from 1 species